AGAGUUUGAUCCUGGCUCAGGACGAACGCUGGCGGCGUGCCUAACACAUGCAAGUCGAGCGAGGUCCAUCCAGUGGUAACACUGGUGAAGACCUAGCGGCGAACGGGUGAGUAACACGUGAGAAACCUGCCCCGAAGACUGGGAUWACUCUCCGAAAGGAGAGCUAAUACCAGAUGCCCUCACCGGGCCGCAUGACUUGGUGAGGAAAUGGAUUCCGCUUCGGGAGGGUCUCGCGGCCUAUCAGCUUGUUGGUGAGGUAACGGCUCACCAAGGCUUCGACGGGUAGCUGGUCUGAGAGGAUGAUCAGCCMCACUGGGACUGAGACACGGCCCAGACUCCUACGGGAGGCAGCAGUGGGGAAUCUUGCGCAAUGGGCGAAAGCCUGACGCAGCAACGCCGCGUGGGGGAUGAAGGCUCUCGGGUUGUAAACCCCUUUCAGCAGGGAAGAUUAUGACGGUACCUGCAGAAGAAGCCCCGGCCAACUACGUGCCAGCCGCCGCGGUAAUUCA
rnacentral:rRNA from 1 species